rnacentral:rRNA from 1 species
CUGGGAUUACCUUAGUAACGGCGAGUGAAGCGGUAAAAGCUCAAAUUUGAAAUCUGGUACUUUCAGUGCCCGAGUUGUAAUUUGUAGAAUUUGUCUUUGAUUAGGUCCUUGUCUAUGUUCCUUGGAACAGGACGUCAUAGAGGGUGAGAAUCCCGUUUGGCGAGGAUACCUUUUCUCUGUAAGACUUUUUCGAAGAGUCGAGUUGUUUGGGAAUGCAGCUCAAAGUGGGUGGUAAAUUCCAUCUAAAGCUAAAUAUUGGCGAGAGACCGAUAGCGAACAAGUACAGUGAUGGAAAGAUGAAAAGAACUUUGAAAAGAGAGUGAAAAAGUACGUGAAAUUGUUGAAAGGGAAGGGCAUUUGAUCAGACAUGGUGUUUUUUGCAUGCACUCGCCUCUCGUGGGCUUGGGCCUCUCAAAAAUUUCACUGGGCCAACAUCAGUUCUGGCAGCAGGAUAAAUCAUUAAGAAUGUAGCUACCUCGGUAGUGUUAUAGCUUAUUGGAAUACUGCUAGCUGGGAUUGAGGACUGCGCUC